UACGGGGGGAGCAAGCGUUGUUCGGAUUUACUGGGCGUAAAGGGCGGGUAGGCGGCCUGUGCAAGUCAGUUGUGAAAUCUCCGAGCUUAACUCGGAACGGUCAACUGAUACUGCUCGGCUAGAGUGCAGAAGGGGCAACUGGAAUUCUUGGUGUAGCGGUGAAAUGCGUAGAUAUCAAGAGGAACACCUGCGGCGAAGGCGGGUUGCUGGGCUGACACUGACGCUGAACUGCGAAAGCUAGGGGAGCGAACGGG
rnacentral:rRNA from 1 species